GGGGUCGCCUGUAUCCCUGCACUAUCAACAUUCCUCAAGCGUCUUAGUGAUCGUCAAUGUGCAGAAUAAAUUAGAAAUAAUAAGUGUUUUGUAGGUACUUAAUCACAAUUCCCCAAUGACAGCAGUGCUGAUUGUCAAUUAUGAGAAAUCAAUUUGACGUACAAUUCGUACAAUAUAGAUCUAUAGUUUUCCAACCACUCGCUCAACAUUGGAACGGAAGUGACGACGCACCUAAACGCACGAAUGGUGUUCACUAAAACCAGAGUUUUUGACGGAAAUGCAUCGAACUCGAAAGUUGU
rnacentral:lncRNA from 1 species